rnacentral:rRNA from 1 species
AUCUAUGUCCAUACCACCUUGAAUGUACCUGAUCUUGUCUGAUAUUGGAAGCUAAGCAGGAUCCGGCCUGGUUAGUACUUGGAUGGGAGAUGUGAAUA